AAUAUAAAUACGAUACUCUAGAUAACCUCCUGGAUAAAGUGCUCACCGAUAUCCGUGCACUUGCGGAUCAUUUCCUGAUGGCGUUACCAAAUAUCAACAAGCAUUACUGGCGCUGUUGCCGGGGAGAAAGACGGUUUGCUAAGAUAACUUUUAGUCUUGCUAUUAUCUUGUAUUAUACUUUUAUACUUUUAUUCUUUUAUCUUUUUAUUUUUUCCAUCUUUAUGGAUAACUUAAAUUCCACACCUAUUAUUGAAUUCUUUGCACCUUCGGAGACCAGCCAUAGACCAUGGGAGUCAACAAGUCCUUUCUUUGCCCUAAUUAUGAUUUGUGUCCGGAGUUGAUUGCAAUAGGUUAAAACCAACCCUUUUCUAUAGCCGAGGUCCUAUCUUUUAAUCAAGAAGAUAAUAAACUUUUAGAUACACCUAGGGAAUCUUUUAAUCUUUCUAUAAAUUCUGGUUUA
rnacentral:lncRNA from 1 species